rnacentral:rRNA from 1 species
GACGAACGCUGGCGGCGCGCUUAACACAUGCAAGUCGAACGGAAAGGCCUGCUUUCCCUUGUGGAUUGCGGGUACUCGAGUGGCGAACGGGUGAGUAACACGUGAGUGAUCUGCCCCCAACUUGGGUAUAAGCCUGGGAAACUGGGUUUAAUUCCCGAUAGGACUGCAGGGUGGUGCCUGUGGUGGAAAACGAUUUUCUAGUGGUUGGGGAUGAGCUCGCGGCCUAUCAGCUUGUUGGUGGGGUAAUGGCCUACCAAGGCGGCGACGGGUAGCCGGCCUGAGAGGGUGGACGGCCACAUUGGGACUGAGAUACGGCCCAGACUCCUACGGGAGGCAGCAGUGGGGAAUAUUGCACAAUGGGCGGAAGCCUGAUGCAGCGACGCCGCGUGGGGGAUGACGGCCUUCGGGUUGUAAACUCCUUUCGACCGCGAGGAAGCCACCUGGUUGGAAGGGUGGUGACGGUAGUGGUAGAAGAAGCACCGGCUAACUACGUG